GAUUGACUGAGAAGAUGCAGCAUGGCACCUAGAUUCGAUUUUUACUUACUCAUUUACCAAGUUAUUCUCUGGUGCCUUCUGUGGGCCAGGCAUGGUUAUCUGGGCAGGAACAAGGUCCCUAUGCUCCAGAGGAAGGGAGAGGAGGUGAACAACUGAGCAAGCAACAUGAGAUCUUUGCAGACAGCGCUUCCCGGGAUGAUCCCCCUCAUCUGCAUCCCCUGUCUCACCUGCUGGUAGGCCUCUCGCUGCGGAUCACGCUGGCAGGCGGGCCGUGUGAGCUGGGGGCCGACAUGGGUGGGACGGGACCCCUUCACCUCCACAUGCUCUACCUGCUGCUCUCCUGGGCUGCUCGAGGAUCUUUGAGAUGCUUAUCCUCUGAGAACCCAGGACACCCUCUCUCGGAGGGUGGCACCACAGCUUUCCAGGACCAAGAGGCUCUGACAUUGCACCGAGGGCUCCAGGGGCAGCUGGCCUCAACCUGAAGUGGCCACCCCAUUAUCCCACAUUCAGAGGCCACGUGGGGCGAGGAGGCAGGUGGCCAAGCCUGCUGACACCCUUUGGAGAGAGGCCUGAAGCCAUGGGACUCCAGGCUGAGCCCUAGAAGCCGGAGGGACCAACAGAAGAGCUGGAGAUCCUCUUCCCUGGUGAGAGCUACACCGAACACAAGAACCAGGAGCACCCCAGGAAGCUCCACUGAGGAAGCCUGGGCGGGAGUGGUUAGGAAGCUGUACUUACCCAGGCAUGGUGGGAUGUGGGUGGGGGCACCGGGGCCGUCAGCCUCCCAACAGUGCAUAUAAGUGUCAGUCCCGUGGCCUGUGAAAACUCUAUUCACAGACCGACCUCUGUGGGUACCCCCGCAGCAACUGGGGUCCCUCUGGCUCAGGUCCCACCCUCAUCUCUCCCUGGAUGUGUGAGGGCCCACCAGGGCCCAUAUGUGAAGGGGGACAAGAACUCCCGCCUUGCAGAGACCUUCUGAGAACCUGUGUGUGAGACAUUGGGCACAGGGCCAUGGCCCAAUCCUUCUGGGCUCCUGUUUUCUUCUCCUUCUUGGUCCCAGCCGCCAAACUCAGCACCAAGGCUGCUCCUAAAAGCAGACUCCUCUCCCUACGCCCAGGCCUGUGUAUUUGUUUUCUAUGCUACACAGCAAGUUACCACAAAAGGAAGUGACUUAAAGCCUUGCCCAUGCAGGCCGGGGUUCGGCACAGGUGUCUUCAGGCUGGAUCUCCAGGUCACUAGGGCAUGGAUCUCAGCUGAGGCUCCUGGGCCCUUCCGUGAGCUUGCUGGGUGUUGGCAGUACUCAGCUCCUUGCAGUGGUGGCGCUGACGUCCUGUCUUCCUGCUGGUGAGGGGAGCCACUCCCAACUCAUGGACAGUGCCCACCAGUCCUGGCACACGGCCCUCUAGUAAUGUGGCACUUGCCUAUCAGCAGCCAGCAGGAGCUCCUCUCCCUGGACUGCUGAGUCUAAUCUAAUACUGCCUGAUUCCGUUAGACUAUCCAUCACCUUGGCCACUGAAUGUGACCUCAUCAAGGGAGCAGCUGUCCCAUCCUAUUG
ensembl:lncRNA